rnacentral:rRNA from 1 species
GAUGAACGCUGGCGGCGUGCCUAAUACAUGCAAGUCGAGCGAACAGACGAGGAGCUUGCUCCUCUGACGUUAGCGGCGGACGGGUGAGUAACACGUGGAUAACCUACCUAUAAGACUGGGAUAACUUCGGGAAACCGGAGCUAAUACCGGAUAAUAUAUUGAACCGCAUGGUUCAAUAGUGAAAGACGGUUUUGCUGUCACUUAUAGAUGGAUCCGCGCCGCAUUAGCUAGUUGGUAAGGUAACGGCUUACCAAGGCAACGAUGCGUAGCCGACCUGAGAGGGUGAUCGGCCACACUGGAACUGAGACACGGUCCAGACUCCUACGGGAGGCAGCAGUAGGGAAUCUUCCGCAAAGGGCGAAAGCCUGACGGAGCAACGCCGCGUGAGUGAUGAAGGUCUUCGGAUCGUAAAACUCUGUUAUGAGGGAAGAACAAAUGUGUAAGUAACUAUGCACGUCUUGACGGUACCUAAUCAGAAAGCCACGGCUAACUACGUG